UCCCUCUCAGGGUCGCACCUGGAGAGUUUUCAGUUCUCUACCAGACUCGGCUAUGGGAAGGAGAGUCAAGCAGAGGUAUAUCCAAUCCAUUCCUAGCUUGGGCAGUGGCUAGUGAGUGGAAGGCAAUCUGCUACAGGU